GACGAACGCUGGCGGCGUGCUUAACACAUGCAAGUCGAACGGAAAGGCCCUGCUUUUGUGGGGUGCUCGAGUGGCGAACGGGUGAGUAACACGUGAGUAACCUGCCCUUGACUUUGGGAUAACUUCAGGAAACUGGGGCUAAUACCGGAUAGGAGCUCCUGCUGCAUGGUGGGGGUUGGAAAGUUUCGGCGGUUGGGGAUGGACUCGCGGCUUAUCAGCUUGUUGGUGGGGUAGUGGCUUACCAAGGCUUUGACGGGUAGCCGGCCUGAGAGGGUGACCGGCCACAAUGGGACUUGAGAUACGGCCCAGACUCCUACGGGAGGCAGCAGUGGGGAAUAUUGCACAAUGGGCGGAAGCCUGAUGCAGCAACGCCGCGUGCGGGAUGACGGCCUUCGGGUUGUAAACCGCUUUCGCCUGUGACGAAGCGUGAGUGACGGUAAUGGGUAAAGAAGCACCGGCUAACUACGUG
rnacentral:rRNA from 1 species